GUCUAUGACUGUACCACCCUGCAUGUGCGUGAUCUCGUCUGGUCUCAGAAGCUAAGCAGGGUUGGUUGGGCCUGGUUAGUGCUUGGAUGGGAGGAAAAGCUCAAUUUUAUCUUUA
ensembl:rRNA 5S_rRNA 5S ribosomal RNA